UGGGUGGAAACCCAUAGGCGAAAUGAAAGUGAAGGCAUCUUCCGAUGCUGAUAUGCGAUCCGUAGUGCUUCGGCGCUGCGGAGCAGCAUAGCCCCGUCUCUACCGCUUGCGGUGGGGCGGAGGUAGAGCGUAUUCGCUGGUACCCGAAAGAUGGUGAACUAUGCCUGAGCAGGAUGAAGCCAGAGGAAACUCUGGUGGAGGUCCGAAGCGCUUCUGACGUGCAAAUCGAUCGUCUGACUUGGGUAUAGGGGCGAAAGACUAAUCGAACCAUC
rnacentral:rRNA from 1 species